GAUGAACGCUGGCGGCGUGCUUAACACAUGCAAGUCGAACGAACCUUCGGGUUAGUGGCGGACGGGUGAGUAACGCGUGAGAAUCUGCCCUCAGGAGGGGGAUAACGGCUGGAAACGGCCGCUAAUACCCCAUAUGCCGAGAGGUGAAAUGAAUUUCGCCUGAGGAUGAGCUCGCGUCUGAUUAGCUAGUUGGUGGGGUAAAAGCCUACCAAGGCGACGAUCAGUAGCUGGUCUGAGAGGAUGAUCAGCCACACUGGGACUGAGACACGGCCCAGACUCCUACGGGAGGCAGCAGUGGGGAAUUUUCCGCAAUGGGCGAAAGCCUGACGGAGCAACGCCGCGUGAGGGAUGAAGGCCUCUGGGCUGUAGACCUCUUUUCUCAAGGAAGAAGAUCUGACGGUACUUGAGGAAUAAGCCACGGCUAAUUCCGUGCCAGCCGCCGCUGUAACAC
rnacentral:rRNA from 1 species